rnacentral:rRNA from 1 species
UGUGACCUCAAAUCAGGUAGGACUACCCGCUGAACUUAAGCAUAUCAAUAAGCGGAGGAAAAGAAACUAACAAGGAUUCCCCUAGUAACUGCGAGUGAAGCGGGAAAAGCUCAAAUUUAAAAUCUGGCGGUCUUUUGGCUGUCCGAGUUGUAAUCUAGAGAAGUGUUAUCCGCGCUGGACCGUGUACAAGUCUCCUGGAAUGGAGCAUCAUAGAGGGUGAGAAUCCCGUCUUUGACAUGGACUGCCAGGGCUUUGUGAUGCGCUCUCAAAGAGUCGAGUUGUUUGGGAAUGCAGCUCAAAAUGGGUGGUAAAUUCCAUCUAAAGCUAAAUAUUGGCGAGAGACCGAUAGCGAACAAGUACCGUGAGGGAAAGAUGAAAAGAACUUUGGAAAGAGAGUUAAACAGUACGUGAAAUUGCUGAAAGGGAAACGCUUGAAGUCAGUCGCGUCAUCCAGGGAUCAACCUUGCUUUUGCUUGGUGCACUUUCUGGUUUGAUGGGUCAGCAUCAAUUUUGAUCAUUGGAAAAAGGCUCUGGGGAAUGUGGCAUCUUUGGAUGUGUUAUAGCCCCUGGUCAUAUACAAUGGUUGGGAUUGAGGAACUCAGCACGCCGCAAGGCCGGGUUUUUAACCACGUACGUGCUUAGGAUGCUGGCAAAAUGGCUUUAAUCGACCCGUCUUGAAACACGGACCAAGGAGUCUAACAUGCCUGCGAGUGUUUGGGUGGAAAACCCGAGCGCGUAAUGAAAGUGAAAAGUUGAGAUCCCUGUCGUGGGGAGCAUCGACGCCCGGACCAGACCUUUUGUGACGGUUCCGCGGUAGAGCAUGUAUGUUGGGACCCGAAAGAUGGUGAACUAUGCCUGAAUAGGGUGAAUCCAGAGGAAACUCUGGUGGAGGCUCGUAGCGAUUCUGACGUGCAAAUCGAUCGUCAAAUUUGGGUAUAGGGGCGAAAGA